GAGAAACCUCUCGAAGCAAAAGGACAUAUAUUCUGUCAACAUAAAUAGGCAUCAUGGAGCGAGGUGAGAAUAAGGACCUGGAUGAUAAGCAGCAGACAAGGACAACUCAACCAAAGAAACGUGAAGACAAAAAGGGCAGCAACCAAGAGGAAAAGGCCGACCGCUGUCUGGAUUGCUGUUUGGGCACCGUUGAGUGUCUGGAAGAAAGUCCAGAAUGUAGCUCGGCUUCAUGCUGCGAUGCGGAUAUCUGCUGUGAUAUAUGUGUAAUCAUGUGAAUGAGCGUGUGGACAUGAUAAACUCUACGGGAUCAAGACCUUCAGAACUUUCAUUUAAAUUUAAUUCAAUUUAAAUUAAAAAGGAUCUUUCAUUCUUCUCUUUAGAAAACUGUCUGAUCUGUAAAACACAUUAGUUUAAAUAUGUUUUACUCUUAACUUCAGCAGGGAUUUAAAUAAGAAAUACUUGCAGAAUUCUUAAUAAAAUUGCUUCUUAAUUUGAUUUUGAGCUAAAUUUGCAUCCUUUUAUCAAACCAUGUGGACAUGCUAGAUAUUUGUUAUGUUGUAACUCCCCUGUAUUAUUGUCUCUAAACUUUGUUUAUGUAUGUAAUGUGUGUCCGUCUAUCUAUAAAUCCUAAUGACAAGGGUUUAAUAAUUAACAUUUAUUUAACAAACAAUAAAUGUUCAUAUGUUUGAAGAAAA